CAGCGCCACGAGUGGGAACCACGUUUAUUGGGCCUAAAGCGUCCGUAGCCGGUUUGUUAAAUUGUUUGUGAAAUCGCAAGGCUUAAUUUUGCGGCAUGCAGAAAAGACUGGCAAACUUGGAACCGGGAGGAGUUAGAAGUAUUCAAGGGGUAGCGGUAAAAUGUUCUGAUCCUUUGAAGACUACCUGUGGCGAAGGCGUCUAACUAGAACGGAUUCGACGGUGAGGGACGAAAGCCAGGGGAGCAAAACGGAUUAGAUACCCGAGUAGUCC
rnacentral:rRNA from 1 species